rnacentral:rRNA from 1 species
GACGAACGCUGGCGGCGUGCUUAACACAUGCAAGUCGAACGGAAAGGCCCUGCUUUUGUGGGGUACUCGAGUGGCGAACGGGUGAGUAACACGUGAUUAACCUGCCCUUGACUUUGGGAUAACUUCAGGAAACUGGGGCUAAUACCGGAUAGGAGCUCCUGCUGCAUGGUGGGGGUUGGAAAGUUUCGGCGGUUGGGGAUGGACUCGCGGCUUAUCAGCUUGUUGGUGGGGUAGUGGCUUACCAAGGCUUUGACGGGUAGCCGGCCUGAGAGGGUGACCGGCAACAUUGGGACUGAGAUACGGCCCAGACUCAUACGGGAGGCAGCCGUGGGGAAUAGUGCACAAUGGGCGGAAGCCUGAUGCAGCAACGCCGCGUGCGGGAUGACGGCCUUCGGGUUGUAAACCGCUUUCGCCUGUGACGAAGCGUGAGUGACGGUAAUGGGUAAAGAAGCACCGGCUAACUACGUG